rnacentral:rRNA from 1 species
GAUGAACGCUGGCGGCGUGCCUAAUACAUGCAAGUCGAGCGAACGGACGAGAAGCUUGCUUCUCUGAUGUUAGCGGCGGACGGGUGAGUGACACGUGGAUAACCUACCUAUAAGACUGGGAUAACUUCGGGAAACCGGAGCUAAUACCGGAUGAUAUUUUGAACCGCAUGGUUCAAAAGUGAAAGACGGUCUUGCUGUCACUUAUAGAUGGAUCCGCGCUGCAUUAGCUAGUUGGUAAGGUAACGGCUUACCAAGGCAACGAUGCAUAGCCGACCUGAGAGGGUGAUCGGCCACACUGGAACUGAGACACGGUCCAGACUCCUACGGGAGGCAGCAGUAGGGAAUCUUCCGCAAUGGGCGAAAGCCUGACGGAGCAAUGCCGCGUGAGUGAUGAAGGUCUUCGGAUCGUAAAACUCUGUUAUUAGGGAAGAACAUAUGUGUAAGUAACUGUGCACAUCUUGACGGUACCUAAUCAGAAAGCCACGGCUAACUACGUG